CAUACUCACAGAUUCCUGGCCGUUGGAUUCAUCAUGAAAUGUAUCUGUCCUGCUGUUCUUGAAGGAGCUUCGCCGACGAUUUGGCGUCAAGAUAAAGAGUGUUCACUUCUUCCAGGUCGACCUGUGGAAGAUAUUAUCUCGGCCGUUCAUUUUGGCGACAAUGCUGCCGGGAGACAGCAACUGGACGGCAUGCCUCAAAGAUGUUUGUUGUCCAAUCUCUCCAAGAUACGCCAGGCUUUCCUCGUCUAUUUUGAGUUCCUCCACCUGUGCUCGGAUAGCUAAUAUCUGGUGCCAUAACUCAACCCAGUGUUUCCGUUUCCUAAGUAAGAAAAAUGUGUAGACAGACAAAUGGGGUUAUUCGUGGAAAGAUGAGAUCAAACCUGUAUCAUUUCGGCAGGGCCGUAGGUUUCUGUCCUUAUAAUGACGAGUCGGUCCAACAAGUCCACCGGUAUGCCAUGAGGACUCGUCAUGUCUGUUCCUCUGCAAACAAUUGGUUUAAUCUAAGAAUUUGUUAUGUGAUUAGGCAAUUGAGGCGUGGGGAAUCAGUUCACGACAAUACCUGACACUACAGAUUCCUCGAUUCGUGGCGAAGAUCACUAUUGGAGAAAGUGAACUUUCUAAAGCGCGAUUUAAAUAAGAAAAGCAUUCCAUAUCCAGCAUAUGAACCUGAA